GUAACAAACAGGGAAACACAAAAGGGGAUGAAGUGGAGGAUUUGAAGUUACCGGAUACUGGCUUUGCUGGUGACCCAAAUGACCAUUAAAAUCUAUCAACUGCAGACAUUGAUUUGCUGUUGGACAAGUGCCUUCUGCAAGCAUUGCAUACAACACUGAAGGACAAAGACCUUCCCAUGCCCGGAAGCACUCUAUGGUCAAACCAUGUAUUACCGUGCAGGCCUUCAGGGAUUACUUUAGACGUCAAGAAAUCAUCCUACAAGAAGUUAUCAAAGUGGUUACAAGCAAAUUCCUCCUCCGGCUUGUAAGAAUGGACCUUGUAUUUCCACGAGGAAAGUCAAAUCCUCAAAUUGAGGAUAAGUUGUUCUUAAGGUGCUCAGAUUCCUUCGGAAUUCCAACGAGAGGAAAACGCAGAUACAGUUAUAGAAAACCAAGAUCAAGAGAAAAAGACACACUUUCAUAUGUAAAGAACUGUAAUCCAGUAGGACUAAAAGUUUUAGUUGCACUGGGACAACAAUCGAAUCAACGCACUGACAAUAAUGCCGACAAAAUCUCAAGAUGCUCCAGAGAUUUUGGAAUUUCAAAUAAAAGAAAGGUUCAAGAAGGCGAACAAGACAUUUUGGCGAGUUCAAAGAAGACUACUAAACUUCCAUCCAGGAAAUUACAUGAGCCAAAGUCAGAAGGGGAAGAAGACAUUUUGGCACAUUAAAAGAAGACUACUAAACUUCCAUCCGGGAAAGUACUUGAGCCAAAGAAGAGUCUUUCUACCUUGAACAAGAAAAGAAAAUUUGAAGACAAUAUCAGGAUUAACAAUUUGGAAGAAGAUGAAGAAGUUCUUUUCCUUUCAAGGACAAAGUCAAGAAGCCAAACUAGAAAUAUGGAUAAUAUGAAGGAUACUGAACAAAAUUUCAGAAUAUGUCAUCAGUGCAUGAAAAAGGAAAGAGCAACAUUUGUACCUUGUACUCAAUGUCUGAAAAUGUCCUGUCUGCUGUGCAUCAACCAAUGAUAUGGUUUUUUUACAUCUAAAUAAUCAUUCGAAAGGUUUGUUUAUUUGUUCAUGUAUUUUAUGAGAUAGCUUUCCAAAAUAAUGAUUUGACUAUUUUUGCACAUGGCUCUCCCAAUAUGAGAAUAUAACUAUUAUUUAACCUUACUCUUUGUGCAAAAGUAAUCAAAUGAUUAUUUUGUAAAGGCAGUCACCUUCAUAGUAUCCAUAUUUCUAGUUUGGCUUCUUGACUUUGUCCUUGAAAGAAAAAGAACUUCCUCAUCUUCUUCCAAAUUGUCAAUCCUGAUAUUGUCUUCAAAUUUUCUUUUCUUGUUCAAGGUAGAAAGACUCUUCUUUGGCUCAUGUACUUUUCUGGAUGGAAGUUUAGUAGUCUUCUUUGAAUAUGCCAAAAUGUCUUCUUCCCCUUCUGACUUUGGCUCAUGUACUUUCCUGGAUGGAAGUUUAGUAGUCUUCUUUGAACUUGCCAAAAUGUUUUCUUCGCCUUCUUGGACCUUUCUCUUCUUUCAAAUUCCAAAAUCUCUUGAGCAUCUUAAGAUUUUGUCCGCAUUAUUAUCAGUACGUUGAUAGGACUGUUGUCCCAGUGCAGCUGAAACUUUUAGUUCUACUGCAUUACAGUUCUUUACACAUGAAAGUGUGUCUUUUUCUCCUGAUCUUGGUUUUCUAUAACCAUAUAUGUGCUUUCCUCUCGUUGGAAUUCUGAAGGAAUCUAUGUUCCUUAAGAACAACUUAUCCUCAGUCUGAAGAUUUGACUUUUCUUGUUGUGGAAAUACAAGGUUCAUUCUUACUGCAAAAAAAAAAAAAAACAGGGAAUUAAUCGGAGACAAUGGAUUAAUUUCAAAAAAAUUAGUACUUGUUUAGGUGUAUGUAAUAGUUUAUAUGUUGUAUAUUUGUUAUCCUAUGUUGUAUAUUUGUUUAGAGAACAAUGAGCAUGUAUAUGUAAUUGGACCAUUAAAUAUGAUAUGUAUGAUUUAUGAGAUUGUACAGUGUCGUAUGGUUUAUGUAAAGUUGUAAGAAAAGACUCAAGGAUGUGUUUGUGCA